GGGCAGGGGCGGGCUUGUUUACGGCCGGACUGCGCAGGCGUGCUCACCUGGCGCGCUUGGCGCGCCAGGGCGUCCGGAGGCCCCUCCCCCGGGCGAGGCCCCCGGCCAGUUCCGCUGUCGCGCAGGUGAGGGAGGCUAGGACUGGAGGUCGUGCUAGCCGUGCCGCCGCCUCCGCCUCCUUCUCCGCCUCCCCCCGGGGCUGAGCCGAUGAGAACCCUUCAGUCUGUGCCCACCUGUCUCAUCAGCCCCCCCUGGGCCCAGCCUCCCAGAUUCAUCUACAGCCGCCUCUGUCGGUGCCGCUCUAAGUGCCUGUGUGCGAGGAUGUGCGUCGGCACCAGAACGGAAGUUCUGUCCAUCACGGCGCACACUGAGAGAGAUUGAGACAGAGUGUGAGCAGGAGAGGGCCAGAGAGAG